rnacentral:lncRNA from 1 species
UCCGCGGCUUCAUUCUUAAAGUCAGUGAGACCAAGAACCUACCAAUUCCGGACACAUAGGUACCAUUAAGAACAUUAAUGAUUCAUGAGAGAAGGUCAAAAUAUCAAAAUUAACAAGAAUUUGCAAGAUGUUAAUUUUAACUCUAAUAAAUGACAUUUACAGAUUCAAGACAUCAGUGGAAAAAUAAACUCCAUGUAAUGGGAAUAGCAAGAAAAAUAGCACUAGAAGUGGACCUUGAAGAUUUGACUGACCUGUGGAAAUCUCAUAGUAAAACCUGAAUGGAAGAAGAGUUGGUUCUUACAGGUGGAAAGUAGAUCCUGUAAGCUGAGGAGACUUUGAAGUAAAAUGUUGAAAGUUUUUAUCUUGCUGCCUACAUUAAAAUGCAAAGAGAAAAGAUCAAUUAAAGAAGGGAAUGCAAAUGAAACCAGCAAUUUAUAAUUUGGAAAAUUUUCAGCCUAUCCAGAUAGCAUAGUUUGGAAGCAGGAACAAAGCUGUUUCUGCACAACCAUCUGCUAAUGAAAUUAGGCUUGAGACUCUUGGACUCAAUCAUCUAAGCAAAAUCUGGGAAUAGACAUGUGAUUAUGGAAGAAAUAUUUGUAGAGGACCUUCUUGCCUAAUGGCAUAAACCCCUGUGGAUUUUGUGGGAGUCCUUAGGCUUUUGAAAAUGUAAUAUCAGCAGAAACAUUGCCAACCUGUACUGAACAGUACAGAGAGAAGUUAAAAUGGAGGAAGAAUGGCUCUGAGGAGGGAGCCUCUGAUGUCUAGGCUCAUAAGACCUAUUGGUUCCAGAAGGUGGGAUCAACUCUUGGUUCUGAAGUGUGAGGCUGCCAUUCAAGACCAAGUAAGAAGGCUACCUUGGAAGGCCCAGAAGACAGAGUAUUGAGCCAGAGAGAAUUAUACUCAAGUCUUAAAACCUAAGUGAGUUGCAAACUUGCAUCAGACUGAUGGAAAAAAUCUUUGCUUGAGAAGGAACCAUAUCCUGAGUCUUACCCAUAAAAGGAUUUUGAUGAGAUUUUGGACCUUAAGUUGAUAUUGGAAUAGUUAAGACUUUUGGAUCAGGUGAAUGUGGUUUGCAUACAGAAAGGCCAUGCUUUAUUUUUAUUUUUAUUUUUUGAUGGGGGAAGCAAAGGGAAGACUUUUAAAGGUUGAAUUGUGUCCCCAAAAGCUAUGUUGGAGUCUUAAUUCUCAGUAUCUCAGAAGGUGAAUUUACCUGGAAAUAGAUUGCAGCAGAUGAAAUUAAUUAAGUUAAUACAAGGUUAUACUAGAUUAGGAUGGGCUUCUAGUUCAAUAUGACUGAGAUUAUUAUAAGACAACAAAAUAAAUACAUGAAAAAACACAAAAAUGCAGGGAGAGUUCUAUAUAAUGGUGAAUUCAGAGAUUGAAAUUUUGCAGUUGCAAAGGAUGAAAAGUUAAAGAUUAUUGGUGGUACCAGAAGCUAAAACCAUGGAACAUAUUCUCCCUUACAGUCUUCAAGAAAGCAUGAGUAUGCUGACACAUUGAUUUUGGACUUCUAGCCUCAGACCAUUGAGAGAAAAUUAAUUUAUGUUGUUUUCAGCCACCCAGUUUGUGGCACUUUGUUAUAGCAGCCCUGGGAAACUAGUGCACUAAAUGUAUAUACAUAAGCUUUUUUUUGUAGCAUCUUUGAGCUGUCAUGUAUUUUUAAAUAUUUGAUUGCUAAAAAUUUGCUAUUACUGAAGGGAUUCUGAAGGGCUACUGGCUCCACAUAUUUUACACAUUAAACCUUUCCAAGACCUGAUUUUAUCAGUAUGUUUACUGCUAAAGCAUUUGCUUAA